AUUGAACGCUGGCGGCAGGCUUUACACAUGCAAGUCGAGCGGGGGAAGGUAGCUUGCUACCUAACCUAGCGGCGGACGGGUGAGUAAUGCUUAGGAAUCUGCCUAUUAGUGGGGGACAACAUUUCGAAAGGGAUGCUAAUACCGCAUACGCCCUAAGGGGGAAAGCAGGGGAUCUUCGGACCUUGCGCUAAUAGAUGAGCCUAAGUCGGAUUAGCUAGUUGGUGGGGUAAAGGCCUACCAAGGCGACGAUCUGUAGCGGGUCUGAGAGGAUGAGCCGCCACACUGGGACUGAGACACGGCCCAGACUCCUACGGGAGGCAGCAGUGGGGAAUAUUGGACAAUGGGGGGAACCCUGAUCCAGCCAUGCCGCGUGUGUGAAGAAGGCCUUUUGGUUGUAAAGCACUUUAAGCGAGGAGGAGGCUACCGAGAUUAAUACUCUUGGAUAGUGGACGUUACUCGCAGAAUAAGCACCGGCUAACUCUGUGCCAGCAGCCGCCGUAA
rnacentral:rRNA from 1 species